rnacentral:rRNA from 1 species
CGCGAUUGGAUGAACCUAGGUGGGAUUAGCUAGUUGGUGAGGUAAUGGCUCACCAAGGCGACGAUCCCUAGCUGUUCUGAGAGGAUGAUCAGCCACACUGGGACUGAGACACGGCCCAGACUCCUACGAGAGGCAGCAGUGGGGAAUAUUGCACAAUGGGGGAAACCCUGAUGCAGCCAUGCCGCGUGUGUGAAGAAGGCCUUCGGGUUGUAAAGCACUUUCAGUAGGGAGGAAAGGGUAAGUCCUAAUACGACUUAUCUGUGACGUUACCUACAGAAGAAGGACCGGCUAACUCCGUGCCAGCAGCCGCGGUAAUACGGAGGGUCCGAGCGUUAAUCGGAAUUACUGGGCGUAAAGCGUGCGCAGGCGGUUUGUUAAGCGAGAUGUGAAAGCCCUGGGCUCAACCUAGGAAUCGCAUUUCGAACUGACCAACUAGAGUCUUGUAGAGGGGGGUAGAAUUCCAGGUGUAGCGGUGAAAUGCGUAGAGAUCUGGAGGAAUACCGGUGGCGAAGGCGGCCCCCUGGACAAAGACUGACGCUCAUGCACGAAAGCGUGGGGAGCAAACAGGAUUAGAUACCCUGGUAGUCCACGCCGUAAACGAUGUCUACUCGGAGUUUGGUGACUU